CCUACGGGUGGCAGCAGUGGGGAAUAUUGGACAAUGGGCGAAAGCCUGAUCCAGCCAUGCCGCGUGUGUGAAGAAGGCCUUCGGGUUGUAAAGCACUUUCAGUGGGGAAGAAAGCCUUGGGGCUAAUACCCUCGAGGAAGGACAUCACCCACAGAAGAAGCACCGGCUAACUCCGUGCCAGCAGCCGCGGUAAUACGGAGGGUGCGAGCGUUAAUCGGAAUUACUGGGCGUAAAGCGCGCGUAGGCGGUCUGAUAAGCCGGUUGUGAAAGCCCCGGGCUCAACCUGGGAACGGCAUCCGGAACUGUCAGGCUAGAGUGCAGGAGAGGAAGGUAGAAUUCCCGGUGUAGCGGUGAAAUGCGUAGAGAUCGGGAGGAAUACCAGUGGCGAAGGCGGCCUUCUGGACGGACACUGACGCUGAGGUGCGAAAGCGUGGGUAGCAAACAGGAUUAGAUACCCCUGUAGUC
rnacentral:rRNA from 1 species